UACGGAGAGUGCAAACGUUGUUCGGAUUCACUGGGCGUAAAGGGUGCGUAGGUGGUGAGGUAAGUCGGAUGUGAAAGCUCGGAGCUCAACUCCGAAAUGGCAUUGGAAACUACCUUGCUAGAGGGUUGGAGGGGGGACUGGAAUACUUGGUGUAGCAGUGAAAUGCGUAGAUAUCAAGUGGAACACCAGUGGCGAAGGCGAGUCCCUGGACAACUCCUGACACUGAGGCACGAAAGCUAGGGGAGCAAACAGG
rnacentral:rRNA from 1 species